rnacentral:rRNA from 1 species
CCUACGGGAGGCAGCAGUGGGGGAUAUUGGACAAUGGGGGGAACCCUGAUCCAGCGACGCCGCGUGAGUGAAGAAGUAUUUCGGUAUGUAAAGCUGUGUCAGCAGGGAAGAAAGAAAUGACGGUACCUGACCAAGAAGCCUCGGCUAACUACGUGCCAGCAGCCGCGGUAAUACGUAGGGGGCAAGCGUUAGCCGGAUUUACUGGGUGUAAAGGGAGCGUAGACGGUUAAGUAAGUCUGGAGUGAAAGGCCGGGGCCCAACCCCGGGACUGCUCUGGAAACUAUUGAACUUGAGUGCAGGGGAGGUAAGCGGAAUUCCUGGUGUAGCGGUGAAAUGCGUAGAUAUUAGGAGGAACACCAGUGGCGAAGGCGGCUUACUGGACUGUAACUGACGUUGAGGCUCGAAAGCGUGGGGAGCAAACAGGAUUAGAUACCCCUGUAGUC